rnacentral:lncRNA from 1 species
UUUACUAAACAAGGGAAUCAUAAUCGUGCGUAAAACACAGGAAAAAAAACAACAAUUUCUAAUUAGCAACUCACAUGAAAAGAGUUGCCUAAAGAUUGAAAGAAUAAGACCCACACACUGCAUUGCAACACUUACAUGUUUUUAUCUAAAUAAAAAAUUACAUGCAAAUGUAUUGGCCGAUUAUUUUCAACACCUAGAUAUAAUCAAGCUGAGAAAUUUAGAUGUAUUCUACACAACGAUCAUAAUAAAAGAGUUAUAACUUGACUUAAACAUAUUGGUCUACCUUAGUCUUAACAUCUAAAAUUCAAAUCAAUGUCAAAUACAAAAAAGAAUAUAUAAGAGGGGAAUUUUAUUACCUAUGAUAUAUUCUUGAAAAGUUUUGAGAAAAAAAUAUGAUACAAAGAACAUAAGGUGCCUCAUUUUAUAAUAACUAAAAUUUAAAAAAUUGUAUAACAUUCUAGUAUAAUAUCCAAACUUGCACAAACUAGACUUUUGCUAGUGGUACAUCACUUUUUAUAAUUUUAAUGCCAUGAUAAAAAGGCAAACAAGAUACUCCAGACCUAAAACCAUUUUGUCCUGCUAUGUGAGACAGCCUCGCAUAACCAACCCAAACCCCAAUGCUAGACAAAAGCGACACACCAAUUUGCUACGCCAUGCAGUAACCCAAAGUGAAGCAAAAACUCCUAGAUCAUGCACAAGACCUGAGACCAUGAUCAAUCACCAUAUUGAUUAGUAAUUACUAUACUUUUUAUAUAUGUUAUAUAAAAAUACAAGUGACUGUAAUAUAGUGCGAUGAAAAAGAGAAAUAUACUAAAAUUGAGUUGGACAAGGUAAUUCCGACCUAAAACCGCUUUCUCCUGCUAUGUGUGACAACCCUGCAAAAUCAGCUCAAACCCCUACACUAAACAACAACGACACAACAACUUGCUAUGCCAGAGCCACCCAAAAUGGAGCCAAAACUCCUAGAAAACCAGACCUGAGACCAUGAUCAAUCACCAUAUCGAUUAGUAAUUAUUGUACUUAUUCUAUAUGAUGUACAUAAAUAGAGGUGAUUGUAAUAUAUUUUUGUCUUAAAUCAACCUAACUGGAGUUCAUUAAAACUUUAGCUCAAUCAAUUGAUUAAUAAUAUGUCAUGGAAGAAUUCAAUUACAUUAGAAGAAAUAAUAAAUUACAUACUCGUUGAUUAACUUAUUAUAAAAGAUAUUUUGAAUCAAUCAUCAUCCAGUUUUAUUAUUAAUAAUUAACUUUGUAAUAGAGAGAGAGAUAUAAACAAUAAACAAUAAUACUUAUCAAUCAUAACAGGACUAAGAUCAUAAAAUUAAUUUAUUCCUAAACAAUUUAUUCAAUACCUAUCAGGGGGGAUUAGAAAAAAGUGAUGAAUUAGAACUCUACAAUAAUAGUUAUCAAACUAUAAUAUUACUAUUGAUUGCAUGAUGUAUACAUAAUUUAUCAGCAGAAGCUUAUCUAUAGCCAAUUUAGAUUUAUGGAUAGUGAGAUAUAGAUCCAAUUAGCAAGUCAUCCAACAACAUCUCAUAUAUGCAUUAAGUCAUUAGCCAAUAAUAGUUUUAAAAAGUAGGUUCCAUAAGUGCAUAUGUGCAUAUGAAGAUGAUACAAAUAUCUUAUAGGUAGUAGCAUAAGUCCAUAACUAAAUAUCUUGUUUAGCAUAAGUAAAACAGAGGAAUAAAUAUAGUUCCAAAACAUAGAAUGAAAAUUAUGAGUUUUAAAGAAAUGAGUAUCAUAAAUGAAUGAAGUAAAAGAUUAGAACAAUGUAAGAAAUAAGAUUUGUUCUUUUUGUCAAACCAGGAGUUCAUGCUACAUAGUAAUGUUAUCAAACCAAGCUGAAGCCAAAGGUGCUUUCACCAUAUAUAUGUGGGUACGUUUUUUGCAUUUCUAAUUGUUUUGGAUUCUAACUUAUUUUUGUGUAUAUGGUUCUAUCCAUUUUUGCAAUUAUUCACAUCCAUACAUUUUUUAAAUGCAAUUCACAUCUAUACGGUUAAGUUAGUUGUUGGUUACAUAAUUUAUGGUAUACAAGCAUAUUAGAGUUCAGGAAACUGUUUCUCUCACAAGAUAAUCAAAUUAUGCAUAUUCUUCUACGUAAAACUCCUUAUCUAUUUGUCCUAUAUAUUCAACCCUGUAUAGGACAACAACCUAGCCCUCUUUCAAAAACAAACAUAUGAAAAAAAUUAAUAAAUAGAGAUCCUUAAUAUUUAAAUUCCAAAACCAAAGAAGAUGAAUUCACUUACAAACUUGAUAGAGAGAGAAAAUCAACUGAGCAAGAGUGUCUUCCCGCAAGUGAGAGAUCCCUGAGCGAUUUCGCAACCGAAAGAGGGGUAGAGAGAAAUAUUGAGAGAGGAAUGGUAUGGUGUUUGAUUGAUUACUAUGUGUGUGUGAGAGAGAGACAAUCUAGUGUUCUAGAGAGAGGGUUGAACGAUGGCACCAUAGAUUUUUAGAGAAGCUACGGUAUCCAUGAAAUAGGUUUUGAGAGAUCUGAUUUCUAUAUUUUGGAAAAGUGACGCGUAUGUCAUUUGGGUAGACUUAGUAUAUCUUGUCCUGAAAAAGUUUUUUUUUUAUUGUUAAAAAGAAUAAUACAUGUGUUACAGCUUAAAAAUAUU